GUAUGAGGAUAAAAGGAGCCCCUGCUGCAGACUCCAAUAAGCUCCAGUCACAGCCUGAAAGCAGUGACUUGGGCAUCACUACACCGUGUUAGAAAAUGUGUCAAUUAUCACAUGGAUUGCCUAAGGGUAUUGCCUGGGUCUGGGUCAUGAAACCAUCAAGACUGAAGGGAGAAAAAAUUGAUGAAGAAGGUGUGGUGUUCAUCUGUGUGACCUGACCUGAGACACAGACGUGUCCAUCUUGCAGGUCUUGGGAAGAGGAAAGUGGGAAGAUAAUAAGCACAAUGUGUUAAGUCCCAGACCUGAAAAUGACACCCCUCAAUCAUUUUGACUCAUCUUUUAUUGGCAAGAAUGUCAUUGCAUGGCUACAUUCAAGAGUCUGGCUGGUUUCAGCUAAGGACCCAAAAGAGAAUAAGAUAUUUGUUAAGAAUACUUACCUCAUUAUUUGGGUGAUGGUUAUACUACAAGUCCAGAUUUCAACACUACGCAAUAUAUCCAGGAAAGGCAUGCUGCAAAAUUAUAAAGCGUGUUCUGCCAUAUGUUGCUUCCCACUAAACUGCAAUGAGAAUUGAUGGGAGAGACUUGUGUGGAGGAAUUAUCUGAAGAUGCUGGUCAGUAUGCAUUUUGAGAGAAGCAG